UAUAUUAGAAGGGUGGGGGGGGGGGAUAAUAAAAGGUAAGGAGGUGUUCAAGUAAAAGGAGUAAAUACGUAUUUCCCAAUUGGCCAUUAGCUCCUCCCCCAUUGCAGGACCCACCCACACUGGCCCCACCCCCUGCAGAUCAGCGCAAGCCAGCAGCACUUGAAGGGCUAUUUUUUGCCCAGCUUCACUAAAUAAGGCCAGGCAGAGUAGGGGAGUGGGUGCAGGGCCAGGGGGGCUCCUCUUUGCUUUGACCCUCGGAGUAUAAAAGCUUUGGAGCAGUGGGAGGCUCCUCUGACCAGCCCCUCUGCACACUCCCCGCCUGACCCGUCCAAACGUUCGGCAUAAAACAUGUUUGAAGUCAACAUUAUGACAUUUAAGUAUUUUUUAAGCUAACAUUUGUUGUUUUCGGUGACGUGGAGGCAUAUCGGUGACGUCAUUUUUCCCCUUAAUGGCUGCCGUCUCUCAAGUGAUAGGACAAGGACAUUUAUUGGACAAAGUAUGGACAGAACUGUCAGACAGGAUGGAAUACACAAUGAGGACAAAUGAGAAGAACGAGAAAAAAAAACUGAGACAGCCUCAACUCUAGCGCUUUUUUCUGAUGUUUUCUUUCACUCUUAACCUCAUCUCAACUUCAUUCUUGCUCUGUCUUUCUCACUCUUUUUCUGUCUCUCUCUCCGAGCGCCUGUCUCUCAUUUAGUGCUGUCAGCAUACUGUCCAUACUUUCUCCAGCUCACGUUUUCGCUGGUAUUGGGAAGUAGCUCUUUACAUAGCAGGACAGGUGGGGAGUUGUUACCGUAGGUUUUGGGGCCAUUUUAUCUGACCUAGACAUUUUCGUCCAAUUUUUUUGAUAAUUCGCUCUUCUGUUAGUGCUGAGAACACUCCGGUAUUGAUGACAACGCUCUGCAUUUCUCUUCAUCCCCAUCACUUUCUCAUCUGUCCAAACCCCCCCCCCCCCUUUCUCUCGUUCUCAUCCUCAAAUUCUCAUGCGCUGAAUCAGCUGCUUGGGAACGGACGCUCCCCCUGCCUCUUGGAUCCACAAACAAGCUUCCUCACCCCGGCUAAUGGCAGCAAACUUCCCUAAUGGCAAAAUUAUUAGCUCAUGCUAAUUUAAAGAUCCAGGAAAGGAGCCUGAAGGACAAACAUAAAGAACUGAACACAAUGAGUUGGCCUAAACUGCAAAGAGCUGCCUUGUAAAAGCACAGACUUCAGACAGAAUGAGAAAACAGACAGAGAGAGCUUAAAAGCCAACGAGGGAGAAUGAGACAUAAAAAAGACAAAGAGAGACAAAGGAAGAGUGGACAGUGAGGGGGGUAAAUGGGAGUUAAUUCUAGCAGUGUGUUGUCUUCUGGCUUCAUUAGCCGUAUUGACAGGCCUGUGAUGAAUUCAUCUUCUCAAGAUUGUCUGCAGUCAUCAUUUACACGGAUGCUUCUGUCAUCAGUGGUAACUCCUGUUUUCCUCUUCAACCUCUUCAGUUCAAUUUCUGCCCUUUCUCUAUCAACAACGAUGCAUCCACUUCCAUUCUAUAAUCGUAAAACACCUGAUCCUGACUGCAUUCAUUCGCAUUUGCUUGUGUUGUCUAAACUGAUACUGGCUGUAAUAGACUCUCAAGCUGUGGUGUCAAACUUAUUCUAGGUCCCAAGUCUGGACUAUUGCAUUUUUCUACUCUAGAAACAUUUUCACAUGAUGCUAAUGCAAAUUAAAGACAGAAAAAUAACUUUUUAAACACAAUGCAAAGUUCAGAAUCACUUCAUGCUGCUUUAAUAAAGAAAAGGGAGAUGAUUAAAGAUACAAAUUCCACUUGCUAGAAUAUAUUUUUCACUGUAUAUACAAGAAAAAGGUUAUUGACUGAAUGACUUUAGCCAGCCAAAUCUGUACAUUAACGCAAAAUUAGCUAAAAAAAAAGGAAAGGUUUCUCAAUCAGACUCGGACAACAUUUAAUCAGUAUUAAAGUGCAAUACUAUUUAUUUUAUUAGACUUAAUUGUUAUUUAGCUUUUAUUUUAUUCAGUUUAUUUUAACUGUUUAUGUUUUAGUCCUUUUGUGAAAUGUGUUUGUAAUUUUUUUACUUCAAUUUGUUUAUUACUUUUUUUUAAGAUUUAUAAAUGUAUAAAUGUAUUUAUACAUUUUAUUGUAGAAGGACAUUAUUUAGAUGUUGAAGAGAAGAAGAGAACUGGGGGGCUAAUGGGAAACCUCCAUGCAAUGGCAUUAUAUGUCUGUAUUUUGUAAUUUUAAUUCACCGAAUAGUUUUCUUUGCACCCAUAUUGUACCUGCUGUGGGUGAGUCUGUGAGGAGGGUGAACUGCAUUGCUCUGGACACCUGUGUCACCCAGAGAUCCAGUUUCAGCUGAAAAGUACAAAUGGGUGUAUAUAGUAUGCCCAAGUGGCAUAUUCUGCACCAAAGCACUUACUGUAAAUUAUAACUAACUGUAACUAAUUUAAGUUGCUUUUUUUGCAUUCAUAUUAUCCCAGCUGGCCCUAUUAGACACCUCCUCAUCCUGCCUGUGUGUUUGACACCUCUGCUCUAUACUUUUUCUGGAGUAUUUUUAAUUGAUUUUCUUUUAAGAAAAAAAAUCCACUCAACUUUCCUGUUCUUCUUCUACAGGUUCAACGAUAUCCUUCUCCUGUCCUGAGCUUGGGAUUCUGGCGCACACCGAAGUCUUGUCCUAAAAUGCUUUGCUAAAGCUGGUAAAAUGGAACCAAAUCAACUGUUUUAUGGAUUUGGUCCCCUUCAACCAGCUGUAGCUGUGCAUUGAUCACCCCGUAGAGCUGUGAUGAAGAAAGAGAGGUGUUCAAAGGCACAACGCACAAUAUUUGACUUCCUGUGAAGUUCACAGUGCAGGACCAGCUGUUGAAUGCUUGUUCCUUUAAGUACUAAUAUCAUGAUUAAACACUCUUUGUCCUCUUAAAGCCCAGGUUAGUAUUAUAUAUGUCAUGUCACUUAUUAUUUAUGUGCUAUAAUUGUUGAUUAUGUAUUCAAGCCAAUUCACUAUCAUUGGAAAGAGGGCUCUGGGCUCUUUAUGGACGCCCAUUGAUUUUUUGUCUCUCAGCUGAAAGAGUGAGGAGAUGGGGGGAUGAGCUGGGCUGGAUGGAUGUAGGGAACGAGGGAGUGGGUGUGUGUCAAGCUGUUGAAUAAGUAAAACAGUCGUUCCUUGUCUCUCUCUUUUCCUUCUACACUUGUCGUGAUUCUUAAUGUACAUGGCUGAUCAAUAAAAGCUCAUCCUGAAGUUCAUAAACUGC